AGGUAUUUGAUCCUGGCUCAGGACGAACGCUGGCGGCGUGCGUCACACAUGCAAGUCGAACGAUGAAGCUGAGGGCUGGUGGAUUAGUGGCGAACGGGUGAGUAAACGUACGGUGAUCUGCCCCAAACAGAGGGAUAAGCCUGGGAAACGACGUCUAAUACCGAAUAUGAGCAUUACUCGCAUGGGUGUUGGUGGAAAGCUCCGGCGGUUUGGGAUGGGCCCGUCACCUAUCAGCUUGUUGGUGGGGUAAGUGCCUACCAAGGCGACGAUCCAUAGCUGGUCUGAGAGGAUGAUCAAAGACACUGGGACUGAGAGUUGGCCCAGACAUUUACGGGAGGCAGCAGUGGGGAAUAUUGGACAAUGGGCGAAAGCAGCAUCCAGCAAUGCCGCGUGAGUGAUGAAGGGCAUAGGGUUGUAAAGCUCUUUUACCAUACAUGAUAAUGACACUUCCUGGAGAAUAAGCUCCUGUCAAACUCCGUGCCAGCAGCCGCGGUGAUGA
rnacentral:rRNA from 1 species